AACGUAGGACACAAGCGUUAUCCGGAGUUACUGGGCGUAAAGGGCGUGUAGGCGGAUCGGUAAGUCUACUCUGAAAGCUCCUGGCUAAACUGGGAGAGGCGAGUGGAGACUGUCGGUCUAGAGUGAGGAAGAGGAAAGUGGAAUUCCGCGUGUAGUGGUGAAAUGCGUAGAGAUGCGGAGGAACACCAGUGGCGAAAGCGGCUUUCUGG
rnacentral:rRNA from 1 species